rnacentral:tRNA from 1 species
AGGGGCGUAGCUCAGCCGGUAGAGCAUCGGUCUCCAAAACCGAGGGUCGCGAGUUCGAGUCUUGCCGCCCCUGCCA